rnacentral:rRNA from 1 species
AUGGCGUCUCUCCUCCGCACAGCUGCCGCGCUCGCGCCCCCGCCCUCGUCCGCCCGGGAGACGCGGCGGCCGUCGUGCGCCGCCUCCUUCGCCUGCUCCCGGCGCGCGCUGGCGAGCCCGCUGCGCGCGCCGCCUCUACCCGGGCCACGGCGAUUGGGGCCCGAUGAGGCCGCGCAUACGGCCACUCAGUUUCUCUGCCGAUACAUGAGAAGAGAUGGGCAUGAAGGUGAUGGGAGAACUCAAGGACAAGACGAACCUAUUAUGUUUGGGCCAGAUGAUGAUGAUGGUGCAAAGAUUCCUACUCAGGUAGAGACUCUUGUUAGAGGAACUGCAAUAGUUGAUGCUCCAGAAUACAAGCCACUCCCAGAUCUCGAUUAUCUUCAGGAAUUGCUGGCUAUUCAGCAGCAAGGACCCCGGUCAAUAGGUUUCUUUGGUACCCGCAACAUGGGGUAUAUGCAUCAACAACUUAUUGAGAUCUUGAGUUAUGCUAUGGUCAUAACAAAAAAUCAUAUAUUCACAUCUGGUGCUUCUGGGACUAAUGCAGCUGUUAUUAGGGGUGCUUUGAGAGCUGAGAAGCCAGAAUUGCUUACCGUAAUUUUGCCUCAAAGUCUAAAGAAGCAACCUCCUGAAAGCCAAGAGCUAUUAUCUAAAGUACAAAACUUGAUUGAGAAACCUCAGUAUGACCAUCUACCACUAAUUGAGGCUAGCAGGUUAUGCAACAUGGACAUCAUCUCGAAGGUCCAACAGGUGAUAUGCUUUGCGUUUCAUGACAGCAGGCUGCUGAUGGAGACCUGUCAGGAGGCAAAGAACAUGCGGAAGAUCGUGACGCUCUUCUACUUGGAUUAG